UGAUUUGAAGUUGCAUUAUGCACAGAUGGUUAUCAGUGCUAUUCUUUAUUUCUGGUAAUUAACACCCCUAAAUCCUACACACUGUAGCUUUAA